UACGAAGGGGGCUAGCGUUGCUCGGAAUCACUGGGCGUAAAGCGCACGUAGGCGGUUCGUUAUGUCGGAUGUGAAAGCCCUUGGCUUAACCGAGGAAGUGCAUCCGAAACUGGCGAGCUAGAGUACGAAAGAGGAUCGCGGAAUUCCCGGUGUAGAGGUGAAAUUCGUAGAUAUCGGGAGGAACACCGGUGGCGAAGGCGGCGAUCUGGGUCGAUACUGACGCUGAGGUGCGAAAGCGUGGGGAGCAAACAGG
rnacentral:rRNA from 1 species